UCCUACGGGAGGCAGCAGUAGGGAAUCUUCCGCAAUGGACGAAAGUCUGACGGAGCAACGCCGCGUGAGUGAUGAAGGUUUUCGGAUCGUAAAGCUCUGUUGUUAGGGAAGAACAAGUGCCGUUCGAAUAGGGCGGUACCUUGACGGUACCUAACCAGAAAGCCACGGCUAACUACGUGCCAGCAGCCGCGGUAAUACGUAGGUGGCAAGCGUUGUCCGGAAUUAUUGGGCGUAAAGGGCUCGCAGGCGGUUUCUUAAGUCUGAUGUGAAAGCCCCCGGCUCAACCGGGGAGGGUCAUUGGAAACUGGGGAACUUGAGUGCAGAAGAGGAGAGUGGAAUUCCACGUGUAGCGGUGAAAUGCGUAGAGAUGUGGAGGAACACCAGUGGCGAAGGCGACUCUCUGGUCUGUAACUGACGCUGAGAGC
rnacentral:rRNA from 1 species